GAGAAUGGCCCAGAGCUGGGGGCUGCCAGGCGGUUCCUGGGCCCCUCUCAGCACCAGAAGAAGGCGGGCGCAGGCUCGCCGCGGGUCGGCCGCACGCCAUACCUGGAUCAGGCCCUGCUGGAACAAGGCGCUGUGCACGCAGCCAGGGACCGCCCCGGGCAGCUCCAGCGAGCCGUUCCCAUUGCAGAUGCUCCAGUUGCCACGCAAGCUGUAACUGAGCUCCGCGGCGGUGGUGCCUGCACCGCACAGCGCGAGCAGCAGGAGCAGGUGGAGGCGCAUCUUGAGAUCCCGCGCCACCGAGAUGUGGAGAGAUCGAAAGGCAGCGCUGCAAGGGACCGGCGGUGAAGCCACUCACCCCCUCGGAAGUAGCCGAGGCUUUAGGUCCCCGCCCCGGCCCCGCCCCUAGGUCAGCUGAGCGCUCUCCGGGCGCAGCCGCGGGCGGGAGGGGAACGAGGAGGCUGCGCCUGCACCCGCUGAAAGCCGGGCGUCGCGGGUGCGGGAGCUGCAGCCCCCGAGAAUAGCUACAGGCUGGGGGGCAUU
rnacentral:lncRNA from 1 species